GGUAAAUAGCUCAGUUUGGAGAGCAUUUGACUAUAGAUCGAAAGGUCCCUGGUUCGAUACCGGGAUUCGGCA
rnacentral:tRNA from 1 species